CCUACGGGUGGCAGCAGUGGGGAAUAUUGCGCAAUGGGCGAAAGCCUGACGCAGCGACGCCGCGUGAGGGAUGAAGGUCUUCGGAUCGUACACCUCUGUCAGCAGGGAAGAACGGUCACUGUGCUAAUCAGCAGUGAAUUGACGGUACCUGCAAAGGAAGCACCGGCUAACUCCGUGCCAGCAGCCGCGGUAAUACGGAGGGUGCGAGCGUUAAUCGGAAUUACUGGGCGUAAAGCGCUCGUAGGCGGUAUGUCAAGUCAAGGGUGAAAUCCCCGCGCUCAACGUGGGAACUGCCUUUGAAACUGGCAAACUGGAGUGUGUGAGAGGUUAGUGGAAGUCGUGGUGUAGGAGUGAAAUGCGUAGAUAUCAGGAGGAACAUCAGUGGCGAAGGCGACUAUCUGGCACAUAACUGACGCUGAGGAGCGAAAGCGUGGGUAGCAAACAGGAUUAGAUACCCGUGUAGUC
rnacentral:rRNA from 1 species